UACGAAGGGGGCUAGCGUUGUUCGGAAUUACUGGGCGUAAAGGGCGCGUAGGCGGUGUGUCAAGUCAGGCGUGAAAGCCCCGGGCUCAACCUGGGAACCGCGCUUGAGACUGGCACGCUAGAGUUCGGGAGAGGAUGGUGGAAUUCCCAGUGUAGAGGUGAAAUUCGUAGAUAUUGGGAAGAACACCGAUGGCGAAGGCAGCCAUCUGGACCGACACUGACGCUGAGGCGGACGAAAGCGUGGGGAGCAAACA
rnacentral:rRNA from 1 species